GAAAUGCGAUAAGUAGUAUGAAUUGCAGAAUUCAGUGAAUCAUCGAAUCUUUGAACGCACAUUGCGCCCGCCAGUAUUCUGGCGGGCAUGCCCAUCCGAGCGUCAUCGCAGAACCCCUCGAGCGCCCGCUGGAAUUCUCCAGCGGGCGCUCGGUGCUGGGGCGCGCGUGAACCCGCCCUGGCGGCGGGCUCGCGGCCCCUAAACUCAGCGGCGACCUCCCUAGGACGUCCCCCUGCGUAGUAAGCCCACUGGACACUUCGCACCGGGCCCCGAGGAGUAGCCUGACCUCAAGACCAAGAGACCUCGGAUUGGGUAGGGAUACCCGCUGAACUUAA
rnacentral:misc_RNA from 1 species